rnacentral:precursor_RNA from 15 species
GACGCAGAAAAAAAGAGGAGCUAGUUUCUUUGCCAUACUGCUCAAACUUAAUUUGUAUUUAAAAAAAUUAGGUUUGGUAGUAUUUGGCGAAAAAAAUUAGAUUCCGAAGCUACGGAGAGUA